rnacentral:tRNA from 1 species
AGAUAAGUAGUGUUAAAUAGCACAUCUAAUUUUCAUUUAGAAAGAAUAAAUAUAAAUAUCUAUCUG